GAUGGGACGAAGGACCUAUGCUGGAUUAAAGGACAAACUGAAAAGAGAAGGAAAGUGGACAAGUGAUUCACCCCCUCCACGAGAAUUAUUAUGGAUACUUGCACGCCAAAAUGAAAAUGGGGAGUAUAAGACUGAUGAGAUUGGUGAAGUUGCUGCUCAAAUUGAUGACUGCUCGAAAAAGAUCAAAGAGGGUACAAUUGUCUGUGAAGGUAAGACAGAUGCCCUUGUAAAGAUUUUGGGUGAAGAACAUGGUGGAAGAGUAAGGGCUGCAGGUACAAGAGUGACCCAUAGUCAGUAUUUUGACACUCCUCGACAACGUGGAUCAUCAAAUAAAGAUAAUCUGAAUAAAAUCAGAGAACUGGAAGAGCAACUAAGAGUGAAAGAUGU